GACAGAGGGUGCAAACGUUGUUCGGAAUUACUGGGCGUAAAGCGCGUGUAGGCGGCUUGGCAAGUCGGGUGUGAAAGCCCCGGGCUCAACCUGGGAAGUGCACUCGAAACUGCUUGGCUUGAGUACUGGAGAGGGAAGCGGAAUUCUCGGUGUAGAGGUGAAAUUCGUAGAUAUCGAGAGGAACACCGGUGGCGAAGGCGGCUUCCUGGACAGUGACUGACGCUGAGACGCGAAAGCGUGGGGAGCAAACAGG
rnacentral:rRNA from 1 species